rnacentral:rRNA from 1 species
CACCGGAGAGGGAGCCUGAGAAACGGCUACCACAUCCAAGGAUGGCAGCAGGCGCGCAAAUUACCCAAUCCCGACACGGGGAGGUAGUGACAAUAAAUAACAAUACGGGGUUCUUUAGGAUCUCGUAAUUGGAAUGAGUACAAUUUAAAUCUCUUAACGAGGAACAAUUGGAGGGCAAGUCUGGUGCCAGCAGCCGCGGUAAUUCCAGCUCCAAUAGCGUAUAUUAAAGUUGUUGCAGUUAAAAAGCUCGUAGUUGAAUUUCGGGGUUAGUAGGUUGGUCAUGCCUCUGGUAUGUACUGGUCUCACUGAUUCCUCCUUCCUUAUGAACCGUAAUGCCAUUAAUUUGGUGUUGCGGGGAAUUUGGACUGUUACUUUGAAAAAAUUAGAGUGUUUAAAGCAAGCUAACGCUUGAAUACAUUAGCAUGGAAUAAUGAAAUAGGACGUUCGAUCUUAUUUUGUUGGUUUCUAGGAUUGACGUAAUGAUUAAUAGGGAUAGUUGGGGGCAUUAGUAUUCAAUUGUCAGAGGUGAAAUUCUUGGAUUUAUUGAAGACUAACUACUGCGAAAGCAUUUGCCAAGGAUGUUUUCAUUAAUCAAGAACGAAAGUUAGGGGAUCGAAGACGAUCAGAUACCGUCGUAGUCUUAACCAUAAACUAUGCCGACUAGGGAUCGGAUGAUGUUAAUUUUUUAAUGACUCAUUCGGCGCCUUACGGGAAACCAAA